GGAGAGAUGUCUGAGUGGUUUAAGGUGCACGCUUGGAAAGCGUGUGUGGGGGCAACUCCACCGCGGGUUCAAAUCCCGCUCUCUCCGCAA
rnacentral:tRNA from 1 species